AGGAGAAUUGAUGGCCCAAAGUGACUGUCCUGCCCUGUGAUCUGCCCUUUAGCGGAAGAAACAGCAAAACCGGCAUCAACUACAGCAACUGGGAACAUCAAGUUUUUAUUCAUUUGUUGAUUUGAACAGUAUUUCAUUCUGAUUUUAACUGACUUCUUUUGCAUUAGAUUAAAAACAACAACAAAAGACUGAAAUCUUUCAAGAACAAAGAGGAGCUGGCCUAUAAAUCCUAAAUACAGAUGUAGUGAUUGAACCCAUCUAGGUAGCUUAU
rnacentral:lncRNA from 1 species